rnacentral:ncRNA from 1 species
UACCUGGUUGAUCCUGCCAGUAGUCAUAUGCUUGUCUCAAAGAUUAAGCCAUGCAUGUGUAAGUAUGAACUAAUUCAGACUGUGAAACUGCGAAUGGCUCAUUAAAUCAGUUAUAGUUUGUUUGAUGUACCUACUACUCGGAUAACCGUAGUAAUUCUAGAGCUAAUACGU